GCACGUUAUGGUGGGCACUCUAAGGAGACUGCCGGUGACAAACCGGAGGAAGGUGGGGAUGACGUCAAGUCAUCAUGGCCCUUACGGCCUGGGCUACACACGUGCUACAAUGGUCGGUACAAAGGGUUGCCAAGCCGCGAGGUGGAGCUAAUCCCAUAAAACCGAUCGUAGUCCGGAUCGCAGUCUGCAACUCGACUGUGUGAAGUCGGAAUCGCUAGUAAUCGUGAAUCAGAAUGUCACGGUGAAUACGUUCCGGGCCUU
rnacentral:rRNA from 1 species